AAAUAAUUUCCACUACAACAACUACUUUGCACUUGUUAUUAUCAGUUCAAAAGAACCAGAAUGCUGACUGAUAUCCAGGAAAUGACAUCACUGCUUCACAGAUGGGAGGUUUACAUUACUGAUAACACACUGCCGCUUUAAUGAAACAGUUGAGUUGAGGAGCAGGUGAGAGAACUAUAUAAAACACAGAACUCUCUUAAGUUCUUAAGUAAAUGAAAGAUGAAUGUAGAACUCUAUGCUGUUCUCUUCUCACUGGCUGUAGUGGGUGUACUCGGACAAACUGUGGAGCAAACUGAACUCCUUUGGACAAAGUCACUGAAUAAGAGAGCUUAUAUCAGCUGUAAAGUGACUGGACUUCAGAGCAGCAACUACGUCCACUGGUAUCAACAGAAAGAUGGAGAAGCUCUGAAAAGGAUCCUGUACGUUAAUAAAGAUGCCUCUAGCACUGUUCCUGAUCCCAACCAUCCUGAAGCAAAAGACUUCUCUGUGACUCUAGAGAAGGGUGAUGCAGGUGAUAAUUAUGCUCUGAAGGUGGGCUCAGUGAAGCUCAACCAUGCUGGAGUUUAUUACUGCGCUGUCUGGGACUGGAGCUCAAGCAGCCACAGUGAGAUAAACUGCUCACAUCCUGUACAAUAACUACUGUAACUCUGCCAGUGUUCAACCUGAAAGUUGCAUAGCACAAUCAAAUCCAUUUUAGUAUUCAUUGUAAAUAAACAGGCACGUCAAAUUGUAUAUUGUGCCCACCUCCUUUUUAAUGCACCCAAUGUCCAUUAUAUCAGCACCACUGUUCAUAUAGGAGCACUUUGUAGUUCUGACCCAAAGCUGGGGUCCUGGGUUCAAGUCCCUAUCUGGGUGAAGUUGCCUUGUUCUCCUUAUGCCUGUAAGGGUUUCCUCUGGGUACUCCAGUUUCCUCCCACAGUGCAAUAAAACAUGUAGGUCAGGUAAAAUGGAUAUUCGUGUUCCCCCCUACAUUUAUUUCAUUUUCUCCCCAAUUUACAAGGCCAAUUACCUCCCCCUAUCACUAGUGAAGACCCAACACAUCCUCCAAUACAUGUAAAGUCAGCCACUGCCUUUUUUUUUGGAACUGCUGCUAAUGCAGCACUGCCGAAUAGCAUCACUACUUGGGGGAAAUUCCGAUACAUCAGCUCACAGAUACCCUGUGCUGAUCAACAUCACCCUUUGGAGUGAUGUGGGAGCGAGCACCACCUACCCACCCAGAGAGAGCAAAGCCAAUUGUGCUGUCUCAGGACUCUGGUAGCCGAUGGCAAACUACAUGGUCAUGAUUGGAACCAGUGAUCUCCCGAUCAUAGUGGCAGCAUUUAGCCCGCUGGAUCACUCAGAGCC